GCAGGGCAGUGUGCGCAGUGUCUGUCUGUGUUUGUGGAGCGUCUAGCUUGUGUUCUGCAUGCCGGCAGCUCCAUACACACGUAACCUGCAGCCAGAGAUUGACAUGAGAUCAUAGUACUGGUCUAGUGAUGUCUAAAAGACACCCCUACCACUGGCCAGCCUCCAAUCUCUCAGACACAA
rfam:Xenopus laevis strain J chromosome 4S, whole genome shotgun sequence.